rnacentral:rRNA from 1 species
AUUGAACGCUGGCGGCAGGCUUAACACAUGCAAGUCGAGCGGGGGAAGGUAGCUUGCUACUGGACCUAGCGGCGGACGGGUGAGUAAUGCUUAGGAAUAUGCCUAUUAGUGGGGGACAACAUCUCGAAAGGGAUGCUAAUACCGCAUACGUCCUACGGGAGAAAGCAGGGGAACUUCGGACCUUGCGCCAAUAGAUGAGUCUAAGUCGGAUUAGCUAGUUGGUGGGGUAAAGGACUACCAAGGAGACGAUCUGUAGCGGGUCUGAGAGGAUGAUCCGCCACACUGGGACUGAGACACGGCCCAGACUCCUACGGGAGGCAGCAGUGGGGAAUAUUGGACAAUGGGGGGAACCCUGAUCCAGCCAUGCCGCGUGUGUGAAGAAGGCCUUAUGGUUGUAAAGCACUUUAAGCGAGGAGGAGGCUACUCUAGUUAAUACCUAGGGAUAGUGGACGUUACUCGCAUAAUAAGCACCGGCUAACUCUGUGCCAGCCGCCGCCGUAA